CCCUGGCUUGUGGGUCGAUGAAGAACGCAGCUAAUUGCGCGUUGCCAUGUGAACUGCAGGACACAUGAACAUUGACAAUUCGAACGCACAUUGCGGCCCUAGGACUUGUUCCUGGGCCACACCUGACUGAGGGUCGG
rnacentral:rRNA from 1 species